rnacentral:rRNA from 1 species
AGCUCCAGUAGCGUAUAUUAAAGUUGUUGCAGUUAAAAAGCUCGUAGUUGGAUUUCUGGCGUGCUGAGCCUGGCCCGCGACCGUUUGGUCGUGAGUGCCGGUGCGCGGCUGCCAUCCUUCCGCAGAACGUUUCUACCCUUCACUGGGCCGGACUCGCGAUGCGGAUCCUUUACUUUGAAAAAAUUAGAGUGUUUAAAGCAGGCAUUGUCGCUGUGAAUACAUUAGCAUGGAAUAAUAAUAUAGGACUUUGGUUCUAUUUUGUUGGUUUCUAGGGCCGAAGUAAUGAUUGAUAGGGAUAGUUGGGGGUGCUAGUAUUCCGAGGCCAGAGGUGAAAUUCUGUGAUUCUCGGAAGACUAACUUAUGCGAAAGCAUUCACCAAGGAUGUCUUCU